UACGGAGGGGGCAAGCGUUGUUCGGAAUUACUGGGCGUAAAGGGCGCGCAGGCGGCUGCUCAAGUCAGGCGUGAAAGGCCUGGGCUCAACCCGGGAAUUGCGCUUGAGACUGGGCUGGCUUGAGUGCGGGAGAGGAUGGUGGAAUUCCCCGUGUAGAGGUGAAAUUCGUAGAUAUUGGGAAGAACACCGGUGGCGAAGGCGGCCAUCUGGACCGCAACUGACGCUGAGGCGCGAAAGCGUGGGGAGCAAACAGG
rnacentral:rRNA from 1 species